rnacentral:misc_RNA from 1 species
UAGCGCUAAUAUUUACUUUAUUAUUAUUAGUCACAUUUCAUAAUAAUUCAAAAGUAAUUCAUCAAUAGCAACUAACUAAACAAAAAAUAUAGAAACACUUAUAUUAAUAGGCCUAAUUUGCAUGCAUGUAGAGAAGAUAUCUGCAACAAUAUCAGAAAAACAAAACUUUAUGUAUAAAUUAUCUAUUUCGCAAUUCGUUAAAACGUUACGCACGAAAUUAGGAACCAGAGCAAAAUUUCUCAAUAAUUUGCACAAAUUAACUCCUUAAGAUAAUCUAUUUCUGAUUUAUUAACAAUCAUCGACUGCUUUCAUAAACAACUAGGUCAAUAGUCUACAUUUAUUAUUUGAAUAUUAGUAAGUAAAGGGCAGGGAAAGAUGAAUUUUCACAUAUUAUCGUUAAUGCCUCAUUUUUUUUUGUUAGUAAGCAAAUGAGCAAAGAACAUUACAAAUUCGUUGUAAUAGGCGGUGGCAUUGCAGGAGUGACUUGUGUUGAAACUCUCGAAACAUCGAAUGACGAUAGAAUUCUGCUUUUGACAGCGUCACCUCUAGUUAAAGUUAUACAAAACUUUAAACAAAUCUCAAAAGUCAUAGAAGAAUUCGAUGUUACUGAAAAAAAAGCGUUGGAAUUAGAACAAACGUGUAAAAAUGUGACAGUUCAUCAAGAAGUUGUCGACAAUAUUGAUUUUGACAAUAAAAUUAUAAGCACGAAACGUAAAAAAUUUAAAUAUGAAUAUCUUUGUAUUUGUACUGGAGGGAAACCUAAGUUAAUAGCUGAAAAUAAUCCUUAUGUUAUUGGAAUAAGGGAUGUUGAAACAGUACAAAUAUUUCAGAAGAAACUGAAAUCAGCUAGAAAAGUACUAAUCGUAGGAAAUGGUGGCAUAGCAACCGAACUUGCUUACGAAUUGAAAGGUUGCGAUGUAAUCUGGGCCAUUAAAGAUUCAUCCAUCACUUCUACUUUUGUUGAUGCUGGUGCUGCCCAAUUUUUCCUUCCAACUCUACUAAAUGAAAAUCAACGACAGAAUAAAGAUGAGGAAGGCGCAACGAUUUGCAAACGAUUAAAAUAUGGUUUAGAAGGAACACGUGACGCGAAUGACUCAAACAUCUUUGGGGGUGCUUUAGGACCGGAUUGGGCUUCGGGUUUAGAGUUAAUUGAUAAGCAAGAUAAAAAGCAUGUUGUUCAAAUAGAAUAUAGCGUUGAAAUUGAUAAUAUAAUUGAAAAUACUGACGACGAAAGUGAAUUCAACAUCAAAGUGCGCUUAACUAAUGGUAAAGAAUAUAAAGUAGACUUUAUUGUUAGCGCAACUGGCGUAGAACCUAAUACUUCUUUAUUUUCAACUACCGAUGCUGUCAAAUACGCGAGUGAUGGAGGAGUCAAAGUAACAGACAAACUUGAAACUGGUGUGAAAGAUGUAUUCGCUGCUGGAGAUGUGAUUUAUCCCGAUUGGAAGUUUUCUGAUCAAUGGAUCCAUAUGCGAUUAUGGACUCAAGCAAGGCAAACUGGUCAUUAUGCUGCAAAAUGUAUGUUAGCCAAAUCUCAAGAUGACUUUGAAUCUAUAAGUCUCGAUUUCUGUUUUGAAUGUUUUGCUCAUUCAACGCGUUUCUUCGGAUAUAAAGUUAUUCUCUUAGGUAAAUUUAAUGGACAAGGUCUACUGAAAAGCGAAUACGAAGCAUUAAUAAGACUUACAAAAGGAGAGGAAUACGUAAAAGUUAUAUUGAAAGAUGGUAGAAUGCAAGGAGCUAUACUAGUUGGAGAAACAGAUUUGGAAGAAAUGUGUGAGAAUCUUAUUUUAAAUGGCACGGACCUGUCGAGUCUAGGUGACGAUUUAUUAAAUCCUAACAUUGAUAUAGAAGACUAUUUCGAUUAGGAUUUAUAUACAAAUAUAUAUAAAUAAAUAAAUAUAUAUAUAUAGACGGUAUAUAUGUCGUAAUAAAUUUUUG